GUGAGUAACACGUGGGCAAUCUGCCCUUCACUCUGGGACAAGCCCUGGAAACGGGGUCUAAUACCGGAUAACACUCUGUCCCGCAUGGGACGGGGUUGAAAGCUCCGGCGGUGAAGGAUGAGCCCGCGGCCUAUCAGCUUGUUGGUGGGGUAAUGGCCUACCAAGGCGACGACGGGUAGCCGGCCUGAGAGGGCGACCGGCCACACUGGGACUGAGACACGGCCCAGACUCCUACGGGAGGCAGCAGUGGGGAAUAUUGCACAAUGGGCGAAAGCCUGAUGCAGCGACGCCGCGUGAGGGAUGACGGCCUUCGGGUUGUAAACCUCUUUCAGCAGGGAAGAAGCGAAAGUGACGGUACCUGCAGAAGAAGCGCCGGCUAACUACGUGCCAGCAGCCGCGGUAAUACGUAGGGCGCAAGCGUUGUCCGGAAUUAUUGGGCGUAAAGAGCUCGUAGGCGGCUUGUCACGUCGGAUGUGAAAGCCCGGGGCUUAACCCCGGGUCUGCAUUCGAUACGGGCUAGCUAGAGUGUGGUAGGGGAGAUCGGAAUUCCUGGUGUAGCGGUGAAAUGCGCAGAUAUCAGGAGGAACACCGGUGGCGAAGGCGGAUCUCUGGGCCAUUACUGACGCUGAGGAGCGAAAGCGUGGGGAGCGAACAGGAUUAGAUACCCUGGUAGUCCACGCCGUAAACGUUG
rnacentral:rRNA from 1 species